UACCACCGAGAGCCCAUCGAGCUUGGGAAGGCCAAGAUCCAGGAUGAUCGCGUCGUAGUCUUCGGUCGACGCCCGGAACCAUCCCUCCUCCCCGUCCCUGGCGAUAUCCACCACAUAGCCCGCCGUCGCAAGGGCGCUCUCGAUAUCGCCGGCAAUCGCCGGCUCGUCCUCAAUGAGCAGAACCCUCAUCAGCGUCUCCUGAUCUCAAGGACCUGGUUGCGGCGAGCAUCGACAACGACCUCCCGAUAGCGGCGAUCCCUGGUGAGGACGAGAAACUCAUAGCGCCACUCGCCGCUCCAGGACUGGCGGAGGUCGACCUCCAGGACCUGCCCGGGAACGGCCUUCGCGACUGUCGGGAGGACACUGCUCAAGGCCAGGGCCCAGCCCUGCGAGACCGCCUG
rnacentral:misc_RNA from 1 species